rnacentral:rRNA from 1 species
AUUGAACGCUGGCGGCAGGCCUAACACAUGCAAGUCGAGCGGAUGAAGAGAGCUUGCUCCCUGAUUUAGCGGCGGACGGGUGAGUAAUGCCUAGGAAUCUGCCUGGUAGUGGGGGAUAACGUUCCGAAAGGAACGCUAAUACCGCAUACGUCCUACGGGAGAAAGCAGGGGACCUUCGGGCCUUGCGCUAUCAGAUGAGCCUAGGUCGGAUUAGCUAGUUGGGGAGGUAAUGGCUCACCAAGGCGACGAUCCGUAACUGGUCUGAGAGGAUGAUCAGUCACACUGGAACUGAGACACGGUCCAGACUCCUACGGGAGGCAGCAGUGGGGAAUAUUGGACAAUGGGCGAAAGCCUGAUCCAGCCAUGCCGCGUGUGUGAAGAAGGUCUUCGGAUUGUAAAGCACUUUAAGUUGGGAGGAAGGGCAGUAAGUUAAUACCUUGCUGUUUUGACGUUACCGACAGAAUAAGCACCGGCUAACUUCGUGCCAGCCGCCGCAGUAACAC